UACGUAGGAUGCAAGCGUUGUUCGGAAUUACUGGGCGUAAAGAGUACGUAGGCGGUUUGAUAAGUCUUUUAUUAAAGACCGAAGCUCAACUUCGGGAAUGUAAAGGAAACUGUCAGACUAGAGGUCAGAAGGGGAAAUCGGAAUUCUUAGUGUAGCGGUGAAAUGCGUAGAUAUUAGGAAGAACACCAGUGGCGAAAGCGGAUUUCUGGUCUGAAACUGACGCUGAGGUACGAAGGCGUGGGGAGCAAACGGG
rnacentral:rRNA from 1 species